CUACGGGUCGCUCCAGUGAGGAAUAUUGCACAAUGGGGGGAACCCUGAUGCAGCAACGCCGCGUGGAGGAUGACGCAUUUCGGUGUGUAAACUCCUUUUAUAUGUCAAGAAAAUGACGGUAGCAUAUGAAUAAGCACCGGCUAACUCCGUGCCAGCAGCCGCGGUAAUAUGGGGGUGCAAGCGUUACUCGGAAUCACUGGGCGUAAAGGACGCGUAGGCGGGUUGGAAAGUCAGGUGUGAAAUCCUACAGCUUAACUGUAGAACUGCACUUGAAACUUCUAAUCUAGAGUAUGGGAGGGGGAGAUGGAAUUAGUGGUGUAGGGGUAAAAUCCGUAGAUAUCACUAGGAAUACCUAAAGCGAAGGCGAUCUCCUGGAACAUUACUGACGCUAAGGCGUGAAAGCGUGGGGAGCAAACAGGAUUAGAUACCCCAGUAGUC
rnacentral:rRNA from 1 species